AGCGAACGCUGGCGGCAGGCUUAACACAUGCAAGUCGAACGCCCCGCAAGGGGAGUGGCAGACGGGUGAGUAACGCGUGGGAACAUACCCUUUUCUACGGAAUAGCUCUGGGAAACUGGAAUUAAUACCGUAUACGCCCUACGGGGGAAAGAUUUAUCGGGGAAGGAUUGGCCCGCGUUGGAUUAGCUAGUUGGUGGGGUAAAGGCCUACCAAGGCGACGAUCCAUAGCUGGUCUGAGAGGAUGAUCAGCCACAUUGGGACUGAGACACGGCCCAAACUCCUACGGGAGGCAGCAGUGGGGAAUAUUGGACAAUGGGCGCAAGCCUGAUCCAGCCAUGCCGCGUGAGUGAUGAAGGCCUUAGGGUUGUAAAGCUCUUUCACCGAUGAAGAUAAUGACGGUAGUCGGAGAAGAAGCCCCGGCUAACUUCGUGCCAGCCGCCGCAGUAAUAC
rnacentral:rRNA from 1 species